rnacentral:rRNA from 1 species
UACGGCUCAGUAACACGUAGUCAAUCUAACCUAUGGACGGGGAUAACCUCGGGAAACUGAGGAUAAAACCCGAUAGAUCAUAAUGCCUGGAACGGUUUAUGGUUCAAAUGAUUCGUCGCCGUAGGGUGGGACUGCGGCCUAUCAGCUUGUUGGUGAGGUAAUGGCCCACCAAGGCUAUUACAGGUACGGGCUCUGAGAGGAGAAGCCCGGAGAUGGGUACUGAGACACGGACCCAGGCCCUAUGGGGCGCAGCAGGCGAGAAACCUUUGCAAUGUGCGCAAGCACGACAAGGUUAAUCCGAGUGUUUCCUGUUAAAGGAAUCUUUUGUUAGUUCUAAAACCACUAUUGAAUAAGGGGUGGGCAAGUUCUGGUGUCAGCCGCCGCGGUAAAACCAGCACCUCAAGUGGUCAGGAUGAUUAUUGGGCCUAAAGCAUCCGUAGCCUGUUCUGUAAGUUUCCGGUUAAAUCCAUUAGCUCAACUAAUGGGCUGCCGAAAAUACUGCAGAACUAGGGAGUGGGAGAGGUAGACGGUACUCGGUAGGAAGGGGUAAAAUCCUUUGAUCUAUUGAUGACCACCAGUGGCGAAGGCGGUCUACCAGAACACGUUCGACGGUGAGGGAUGAAAGCUGGGGGAGCAAACCGGAUUAGAUACCCGGGUAGUCCCAGCUGUAAACGAUGCAGACUCGGUGAUGCGCUGGCUUGUGGCCAGUGCAGUGCCGCAGGGAAGCCGUUAAGUUUGCCGCCUGGGAAGUACGUACGCAAGUAUGAAACUUAAAGGAAUUGGCGGA